rnacentral:lncRNA from 1 species
GUACUUGCAAAGCUAUGUGUGGAUCAAGAUGAGAUUGACCCUCUGGAUUAUUGGAGUUGAUGUAUUGCUGUAUUUCAAUUUAGUAAAGUCUUAGCCGAGAUAAUCCAUGAGAUAGAUUUGAAAGGUUGAAAUACAAUAUAGAUGAAGCAAUUUUGGUUGUCAGGAGCCUCAUCAAGUGAUAGCCAUGAUUAACUUCUUAGUAGUGAAAGCCCCCUCCACCUACAAUACCAUUCUGGGG